GAAUUGCUCUGAGGAACUGUAUAAAAGUGCUUGGAGCACAGAGCUCUUCAAACUACUCUUCUUGACUUGUCCUUGGUGGUGAACUGAGUUUAUCCCAGCCACAAAGAUGUCUUCCUACAGGCAGGUCUGCAGCUACGGCAGCUACUCGCCCUGCGACGUGAGCUGCCCCGCGCCGUACGCCAACGCCUGGAGCCAGCCUUGUGUCACCUCCUGCGGGGAUUCCCGUGCCGUGGUCUACCCCCCACCCGUGGCCAUCGUCUUCCCGGGCCCCAUCCUCAGCUCCUGCCCUCAGGAGAGCUUCGUGGGCACCUCAGCCCCCCUGGAGAUAGGCAGCUCCUUUGGCUACGGGAGCUCCCUGGAUGCCCAGAGCUCCUUCGGGUCCGGUGCCUACCUGGGUGGCAGGUUCUCCUACCCCUCUUAUUCCCGCAGGUACACGACUUACAGUCGUGGGAGUUGCGGGCCCUGCUAAGCCCCGCAGGCAUUCCCUGGGGGAGCUGGACCCAGCAGGGGCCAGAGCAAAGUCCCAGUCCAUGCAUGAGCAGAGGAACAUGACUUUCAGAGGGGCAGUGUACCGGGCUGCAGAGGACAUCCUCAGGAGAUGGGCACACUCAGCCACCCUGAGAAACAAGCCCAGACACUCUAUUUUCCUUCCUGCUGGAUUAGAUAUCUGCUAACAAGACACCAACUUUGCGUUUAAGGGGCUGUUUAUUUGAGAAAUAUAGAAAAGGUCUUAGUUUAAAUCAGAGUGUUUUUUAGAAGACUAAACAUCAGUGCAAGUUAGAUCCUGUGUAUUCCAGUCUUUCGUAUGGACUGAUGUUUCAUGGCUUUUGUGGUAUAGUGGAAAAAAUUCUCAAAGCUACAGUUUGCUUCUGGGAGCUACCUGCUACAGUUUGACUGUGGGAGCUACCUUGUUCUACAUUGCCUGGGAUUUAAAAGAAAAAAAAAACCAAAAAAACAAAAAAAUAAAAGAACCCCACAAACAGGUGAGCACGAAAGUUGGCUUUCAAAUGGUGAAAAUGCAAGACAGAAGAUCAUCUAACAAACUGCAGCCCCCAAAGAGGACAACCCCAUCUAUCUCCAGCAAACCCUGCGAAUGUAUUCUGUACUCUCUGGAUUGUUAUGUUCUGUUGCUAUGAAGUCCUUGUCCCGUUUCAAGUAAAGUUUAUAUUGCAUCACAA